UACGUAGGGUGCGAGCGUUGUCCGGAAUUAUUGGGCGUAAAGAGCUUGUAGGCGGUUUGUCGCGUCUGCUGUGAAAAUCCGGGGCUCAACCCCGAGCCUGCAGUGGAUACGGGCAGACUAGAGGUAGGUAGGGGAGAAUGGAAUUCCCGGUGUAGCGGUGAAAUGCGCAGAUAUCGGGAGGAACACCGGUGGCGAAGGCGGUUCUCUGGGCCUUACCUGACGCUGAGGAGCGAAAGCGUGGGGAGCGAACAGG
rnacentral:rRNA from 1 species